AAUCGAACCCGGAGAUAGCUGGUUCUCCUCGAAAUAGCUUUAGGGCUAGCCUCGGUUUAGUCUGCUGGAGGUAGAGCACUGAAUUUCCUAGGGGGCGUCAAAGCUUACCGAAGAAUAUCAAACUCCGAAUGCCGCGUAGAUGAUGUAUGGGAGUCAGACUAUACGAGAUAAGUUGGAUAGUCGAAAGGGAAAGAGCCCAGACCACCAGCUAAGGUCCCAAAAUGUGUGUUAAGUGGAAAAGGAUGUGGGAUUUCGAAGACAACUAGGAUGUUGGCUCAGAAGCAGCCACACAUUCAAAGAGUGCGUAAUAGCUCACUAGUCGAGAGGUCCUGCGCCGAAAAUGUCCGGGGCUGAAACACACUACCGAAGCUUGGGAAUUGACGAAUGUUAAUUGGUAGAGGAGCAUUCUUAACGGGGCGAAGCUGUACCGGAAGGAGCAGUGGACUGUUAAGAAGAGAGAAUGCCGGAAUGAGUAGCGAGAGGAAGGUGAGAAUCCUUCCGGCCGAAUAUCUAAGGUUUCCAGAGUAAAGCUGAUCUGCUCUGGGUAAGUCGGGGCCUAAGGCGAGGUCGAAAGACGUAGUCGAUGGAUAACAGGUAAAGAUUCCUGUACUGUAUCAUAACAGAACUGUGGGGACGCAGACAGAGAGCAUAAGCCGGGAAUGGAAAGACCGGUACAAGCGAGGUAGGAGUGCAUCAGGCAAAUCCGGUGCACAAUCUGAAGACGUGAUGUGGGGCGUAAAGCCGGAAGUAUGUGAGCUGGCUGCCAAGAAAAGCCGCUAUUGUUUAUGAUAUACCCGUACCGUAAACCGACACAGGUGGAUGAGGAGAGAAUCCUAAGGCCGACGGGAGAAGCAUUGUUAAGGAACUCGGCAAAAUGACUCCGUAACUUCGGGAGAAGGAGUGCCAUGUAAAAGUGGCCGCAGAGAAUUGGCCCAAGCAACUGUUUAGCAAAAACACAGGUCUAUGCAAAACCGAAAGGUGAGGUAUAUGGGCUGACGCCUGCCCGGUGCUGGAAGGUUAAGAGGAGAGGUUAGCGCAAGCGAAGCUUUGAAUUUAAGCCCCAGUAAACGGCGGCCGUAACUAUAACGGUCCUAAGGUAGCGAAAUUCCUUGUCGGGUAAGUUCCGACCCGCACGAAAGGCGUAAUGAUUUGGGCACUGUCUCAACAAUGCACCCGGUGAAAUUGAAAUACCAGUGAAGAUGCUGGUUACCUGCGCCAGGACGGAAAGACCCCAUGGAGCUUUACUCCAGUUUGGUACUGGGAUCCGGUACUGCAUGUACAGGAUAGGUGGGAGGCUAUGAAUCGGUAACGCCAGUUGCCGAGGAGCCGCUGUUGGGAUACCACCCUUGCAGUAUUGGGUUUCUAACCAGCCGCCGUGACCCGGCGGUGGGACAAUGCCAGACGGGGAGUUUGACUGGGGCGGUCGCCUCCGAAAGGGUAUCGGAGGCGCUCAAAGG
rnacentral:rRNA from 1 species